rnacentral:rRNA from 1 species
GUCCACGCCGUAAACGUUGGGCGCUAGGUGUGGGGUCCCUUCCACGGGUUCCGUGCCGCAGCUAACGCAUUAAGCGCCCCGCCUGGGGAGUACGGCCGCAAGGCUAAAACUCAAAGGAAUUGACGGGGGCCCGCACAAGCGGCGGAGCAUGCGGAUUAAUUCGAUGCGACGCGAAGAACCUUACCUGGGCUUGACAUGCGCGGAAAUCCGGCAGAGAUGUCGGGUCCGCAAGGGCCGCGCACAGGUGGUGCAUGGCUGUCGU